UACGUAGGGUGCGAACGUUGUCCGGAAUUAUUGGGCGUAAAGAGCUUGUAAGUGGUUUGUCGCGUCUGCUGUGAAAAUCCGAGGCUCAACCUCGGACUUGCAGUGGGUACGGGCAGACUAGAGUGUGGUAGAGGAGACUGGAAUUCCUGGUGUAGCAGUGGAAUGCGCAGAUAUCAAGAGGAACACCGAUGGCGAAGGCAGGUCUCUGGGCCAUUACUGACACUGAGAAGCGAAAGCAUGGAAAGCGAACAGG
rnacentral:rRNA from 1 species